GGGUUGUGAGGUUAAGCGAAUAAGCGUACACGGUGGAUGCCUAGGCAAUCAGAGGCGAUGAAGGACGUGCUAAUCUGCGAAAAGCGUCGGUAAGGUGAUAUGAACCGUUAUACCCGACGAUAUCCGAAUGGGGAAACCCAGUAUCCAAUGGAUACUAUCAUUAACUGAAUCCAUAGGUUAAUGAGGCGAACCGGGAGAACUGAAACAUCUCAGUACCCCGAGGAAAAGAAAUCAACCGAGAUUCCCCUAGUAGCGGCGAGCGAACGGGGAGCAGCCCAGAGUCUUAAUCAAUAGCAGUGUCAGGAGAACGGUCUGGAAAGUCCGGCAGUAAAGGGUGAUAGCCCCGUAUCUGAAGAUGCUGUUAUUGUGAACUCGACGAGUAGGGCGGGACACGUGUUAUCCUGUCUGAAUAUGGGGGGACCAUCCUCCAAGGCUAAAUACUCCUGAUUGACCGAUAGUGAACCAGUACCGUGAGGAAAGGCGAAAAGAACCCCGGCGAGGGGAGUGAAAAAGAACCUGAAACCGUGUACGUACAAGCAGUAGGAGCCUCUUUAUGGGGUGACUGCGUACCUUUUGUAUAAUGGGUCAGCGACUUAUAUUCUGUAGCAAGGUUAACCGUAUAGGGGAGCCGUAGGGAAACCGAGUCUUAACUGGGCGAAUGAGUUGCAGGGUAUAGACCCGAAACCCGGUGAUCUAUCCAUGGGCAGGUUGAAGGUUGGGUAACACUAACUGGAGGACCGAACCGACUAAUGUUGAAAAAUUAGCGGAUGACUUGUGGAUGGGGGUGAAAGGCCAAUCAAACCGGGAGAUAGCUGGUUCUCCCCGAAAGCUAUUUAGGUAGCGCCUCGUGAACUCAUCUUCGGGGGUAGAGCACUGUUUCGACUAGGGGGUCAUCCCGACUUACCAACUCGAUGCAAACUGCGAAUACCGAAGAAUGUUAUCACGGGAGACACACGGCGGGUGCUAACGUCCGUCGUGAAGAGGGAAACAACCCAGACCGCCAGCUAAGGUCCCAAAGUCAUGGUUAAGUGGGAAACGAAGUGGGAAGGCUCAGACAGCCAGGAUGUUGGCUUAGAAGCAGCCAUCAUUUAAAGAAAGCGUAAUAGCUCACUGGUCGAGUCGGCCCGCGCGGAAGAUGUAACGGGGCUAAACCAUGCACCGAAGCUGCGGCAGCGACACAAAGUGUUGUUGGGUAGGGGAGCGUUCUGUAAGCCUGCGAAGGUGUACUGUGAGGUAUGCUGGAGGUAUCAGAAGUGCGAAUGCUGACAUAAGUAACGAUAAUGCGGGUGAAAAACCCGCACGCCGGAAGACCAAGGGUUCCUGUCCAACGUUAAUCGGGGCAGGGUGAGUCGACCCCUAAGGCGAGGCUGAAAAGCGUAGUCGAUGGGAAACGGGUUAAUAUUCCCGUACUGGUGGUAACUGCGAUGGGGAACGGAGAAGGCUAGGUUGUCCGGGCGACGGUCGUCCCGGUUCAAGCAGGUAGGCAGAGUGAUUAGGCAAAUCCGGUCACUUAAUGCUGAGAUGUGAUGACGAACCACCAAGGUGGUGAAGCAAUUGAUGCCCCGCUUCCAGGAAAAGCCUCUAAGCUUCAGGUUACCAACAAUCGUACCCCAAACCGACACAGGUGGUCAGGUAGAGAAUACUCAGGCGCUUGAGAGAACUCGGGUGAAGGAACUAGGCAAAAUGGUGCCGUAACUUCGGGAGAAGGCACGCUGGCGGUAAGUAAAGUCCUCGCGGACAGAGCUGAAGCCAGUCGAAGAUACCAGCUGGCUGCAACUGUUUAUUAAAAACACAGCACUGUGCAAACACGAAAGUGGACGUAUACGGUGUGACGCCUGCCCGGUGCUGGAAGGUUAAUUGAUGGGGUUAGCGUAAGCGAAGCUCCUGAUCGAAGCCCCAGUAAACGGCGGCCGUAACUAUAACGGUCCUAAGGUAGCGAAAUUCCUUGUCGGGUAAGUUCCGACCUGCACGAAUGGCGUAAUGAUGGCCAGGCUGUCUCCACCCGAGACUCAGUGAAAUUGAACUCGCUGUGAAGAUGCAGUGUACCCGCGGCAAGACGGAAAGACCCCGUGAACCUUUACUAUAGCUUGACACUGAACAUUGAGCCUUGAUGUGUAGGAUAGGUGGGAGGCUUUGAAGUGUGGACGCCAGUCUGCAUGGAGCCAACCUUGAAAUACCACCCUUUAACGUUUGAUGUUCUAACCUAGGCCCAUAAACUGGGUCGGGGACCGUGUCUGGUGGGUAGUUUGACUGGGGCGGUCUCCUCCUAAAGAGUAACGGAGGAGCACGAAGGUUGGCUAAGCAUGGUCGGACAUCAUGCGGUUAGUGCAAAGGCAUAAGCCAGCUUGACUGCGAGAGUGACGGCUCGAGCAGGUACGAAAGUAGGUCUUAGUGAUCCGGUGGUUCUGAAUGGAAGGGCCAUCGCUCAACGGAUAAAAGGUACUCCGGGGAUAACAGGCUGAUACCGCCCAAGAGUUCAUAUCGACGGCGGUGUUUGGCACCUCGAUGUCGGCUCAUCACAUCCUGGGGCUGAAGUAGGUCCCAAGGGUAUGGCUGUUCGCCAUUUAAAGUGGUACGCGAGCUGGGUUUAGAACGUCGUGAGACAGUUCGGUCCCUAUCUGCCGUGGGCGUUGGAAGAUUGAGAGGGGUUGCUCCUAGUACGAGAGGACCGGAGUGAACGCACCACUGGUGUUCGGGUUGUCAUGCCAAUGGCAUUGCCCGGUAGCUAAGUGCGGAAGAGAUAACCGCUGAAAGCAUCUAAGCGGGAAACUUGCCUCGAGAUGAGUCUUCCCUGUCGCUUUAAGCGACCUAAAGGAACGUUUAAGACUAAGACGUUGAUAGGCUGGGUGUGUAAGCGUAGCGAUACGUUGAGCUAACCAGUACUAAUGAACCGUGAGGCUUAACCUGACAACACCGAAGGUGUUU
rnacentral:rRNA from 1 species